UGGGCCCUUCUUUGACAACUGCCAGCGUGAGAGUCUUGGUUGAUGAAUAGCACGUGUCUGGAACUCUGAGGUCCAG
rnacentral:snoRNA from 1 species